rnacentral:pre_miRNA from 1 species
AAAGGGAUAGCUGGGUCAAAUGGUAGUUCCAUUCCCAGAUUUCCAAGGAAUAUCCAUACUGCUUUCCAUAUUGGCUACACCAAUUUGCAAUCCCACCAGCAAU